UGGGGAAUAUUGGACAAUGGGCGAAAGCCUGAUCCAGCCAUGCCGCGUGUGUGAAGAAGGUCUUCGGAUUGUAAAGCACUUUAAGUUGGGAGGAAGGGCAUUAACCUAAUACGUUAGUGUUUUGACGUUACCGACAGAAUAAGCACCGGCUAACUCUGUGCCAGCAGCCGCGGUAAUACAGAGGGUGCAAGCGUUAAUCGGAAUUACUGGGCGUAAAGCGCGCGUAGGUGGUUUGUUAAGUUGGAUGUGAAAUCCCCGGGCUCAACCUGGGAACUGCAUUCAAAACUGACUGACUAGAGUAUGGUAGAGGGUGGUGGAAUUUCCUGUGUAGCGGUGAAAUGCGUAGAUAUAGGAAGGAACACCAGUGGCGAAGGCGUCCACCUGGACUAAUACUGACACUGAGGUGCGAAAGCGUGGGGAGCAAACA
rnacentral:rRNA from 1 species